UACGGAGGAUCCAAGCGUUAUCCGGAUUUAUUGGGUUUAAAGGGUGCGUAGGCGGAAUAGUAAGUCAGUGGUGAAAGCCUGCAGCUUAACUGCAGAAUUGCCAUUGAUACUGCUAAUCUUGAAUGUAGAUGAAGUGGGCGGAAUGUGUCAUGUAGCGGUGAAAUGCUUAGAUAUGACACAGAACACCGAUUGCGAAGGCAGCUCACUAAACUAAUAUUGACGCUGAGGCACGAAAGCAUGGGGAGCAAACAGGAUUAGAAACCCCCGUAGUCC
rnacentral:rRNA from 1 species